UACAGAGGGUGCAAGCGUUAAUCGGAAUUACUGGGGCGUAAAGCGUGCGUAGACGGUUAUGUAAGUCGGGUGUGAAAGCCCCGGGGCUCAACCUGGGAAUUGCAUUCGAGACUGUGUAGCUAGGGUACGGAAGAGGGAAGCGGAAUUUCAGGUGUAGCGGUGAAAUGCGUAGAUAUCUGAAGGAACACCAGUGGCGAAAGCGGCUUCCUGGUCCAGUACCGACGUCAGGCACGAAAGCGUGGGGAGCAAACAGG
rnacentral:rRNA from 1 species